rnacentral:tRNA from 1 species
UAAACCCCAUUUAUAAAGGAUUUCCUUUUUUUAGAA